rnacentral:rRNA from 1 species
GACGAACGCUGGCGGCGUGCUUAACACAUGCAAGUCGAACGGAAAGGCCCUGCUUUUGUGGGGUGCUCGAGUGGCGAUCGGGUGAGUAACACGUGAGUAACCUGCCCUUGACUUUGGGAUAACUUCAGGAAACUGGGGCUAAUACCGGAUAGGAGCUCCUGCUGCAUGGUGGGGGUUGGAAAGUUUCGGCGGUUGGGGAUGGACUCGCGGCUUAUCAGCUUGUUGGUGGGGUAGUGGCUUACCAAGGCUUUGACGGGUAGCCGGCCUGAGAGGGUGACCGGCCACAUUGGGACUGAGAUACGGCCCAGACUCCUACGGGAGGCAGCAGUGGGGAAUAUUGCACAAUGGGCGGAAGCCUGAUGCAGCAACGCCGCGUGCGGGAUGACGGCCUUCGGGUUGUAAACCGCUUUCGCCUGUGACGAGGCGUGAGUGACGGUAAUGGGUAAAGAAGCACCGGCUAACUACGUG